GCGGGGGAUGCCGGUGGCGGCAGUGGCGGCGACGGCAGUAACAGCGGCGGUUCCAGCGGGGACGCGAGCGGGGCGGUGACCGUGUGGGAGGUGGUCUCACUCUUGGGAAAACUGCUGGGCACCGUCGCCGCGCUGAAGGUGGUUCUGUACCUGCUCCGGGUGUGCUUAGCGAUGGCCUGGAAAUCCGGCGGCGCCAGCCACUCGGAGCUAAUCCACAAUCUCCGCAAAAAUGGAAUCAUCAAGACAGAUAAAGUAUUUGAAGUUAUGCUAGCGACAGACCGCUCCCACUAUGCGAAAUGUAACCCAUAUAUGGAUUCUCCACAAUCAAUAGGUUUCCAGGCAACAAUCAGUGCCCCACACAUGCAUGCGUAUGCACUAGAACUUCUAUUUGAUCAAUUGCAUGAAGGAGCUAAAGCUCUCGAUGUAGGAUCUGGAAGUGGAAUCCUUACUGCAUGCUUUGCACGUAUGGUUGGAUGUAGUGGCAAAGUCAUAGGAAUUGAUCACAUUAAAGAGCUAGUAGAUGACUCGAUAAAUAAUGUCAGAAAGGAUGAUCCAGCACUUCUGUCUUCUGGGAGAGUGCAACUAGUUGUGGGAGACGGAAGAAUGGGAUAUGCCGCAGAAGCCCCUUACGAUGCCAUUCACGUCGGAGCUGCUGCCCCAGUUGUGCCCCAGGCUCUAAUAGACCAGUUAAAGCCUGGUGGAAGACUGAUAUUGCCCGUCGGCCCCGCAGGUGGAAACCAGAUGUUGGAGCAGUACGAUAAGCUACAGGACGGCAGCGUCAAAAUGAAGCCUCUGAUGGGGGUGAUAUACGUGCCUUUAACAGAUAAAGAAAAGCAGUGGUCCAGGUGGAAGUGAUUUUCUCUUCUGCUCUUUCUUCCACAUGUGCAAGUCAUUCCAUUAUACAAGUAUACGAUUACCACUGAAUAAAAGAGGGAUGAACUGUAAAAGCAACAUCAGCUCGACCAGUCCAUAAUAAUGCAGUGGAUUGCUCAUCUCAGUCCUCACAGCUUUUUGAAAACCAACAGCAUCACAGCUUGUUUUGGACUUCGUUACACUAUUAUUUUCAGCAUGAAAAUGUGUGGUUUUAUAGGGUUUCUAAUUCUUCAAGGAGGCACAGAUUGGUAGGAAAGAUGCAAAGUAUGGAUUUGUGUAUGAUUACUUUAACUUGCCCACAGUUUACAUUAAAAUAUUAAAAGAAAGGGUUCUGAAAACUUAGUUUGUGAGUUGAUUUUCAGGAGUGGUUUUCUUUUCUUGGACACUUAAUUCUGUUCCAAUAUUAAUUUAUCAGAUUGCUUUUGUGCAUCAGAUAACACCACCAUUCACAAGUUACGAUUUCUUGGUAUUUGGAUGUCUGUUAGAUGCUACUAAGAAAAAUAGAGAUGAGCUUUCUUUUUAAAGCUUUCGAUGUGGUGUUCUAGAAUAGCAUGUUGUAGAUACAAUCAGCUGCUUCGUUACCUUCAGACUAGGCAUUUGUAAAUAUGAAACUAAAGAUGAUGGCAGGGAAUGUCCUGCAGACACUCGGCUGUUCAGAUUGGACAUAACUGCCAUAGUUCUUCCUUCCUCCCUCUGAAAUUGGUAGGAGACCUGUAGCGCAGUCUUGUUAUUUCUGUUUCUAAUUUGCUGCUGAUAACGUAUAUGAACCUAACAUGCUGUGUAAGCUGUGUCCUAGCUCCUGAACAGUUUAUGCAGUGCUGCUUUGCCAAAUAAAGUUCAAAGUAAAAGA